rnacentral:lncRNA from 1 species
CAUGUUCAGCUGCAUGUCGUUGUGAUGUCAUACCGUUAGCCCUCUUUGUGUGAAUUUCAAAAGUCUUUCCUUAACUCUUCGCGUCCUCUCUCCUCACCUUGGUUGUUUUAAAAUCUGUCCCUCCACAAAGACAUACAGCUGAGAAUGCUCAAUCAAUAAGCCAGUGAUUGGAUGGCAACUGCAGGUUCAGGCAAUAAAUACACACCAAGCUGGUAUGUCAACUAAACAAGGCAGUAAGGCAUUGAGCCACUAAUUGUGGAGUAUUGCUUUGUCUGGGCUGUUGGUGGUUUAAGGCUUUGAUAUGGCUUUUGGAAUUAAUUUGGGGAUUGUGUUCCUUUGCUCAUUGUUUGCAGAACACUCAAGUUUUACAUGGGCUCCACGUGAUGCCCAGAGAAUAAGAGGCUAUGGGUUUUCUGGCUUUUCCAGAAUGGAAGUUGCGCAGAGGCAAACAGGUGGCAGCUAUCCCCAGGAUCAAUUCAGACCAGCCUCUCGUGGCUCUAUCCCCAGCAGCUUUACCUCUGCCCAGACAAAGGAGUGGAUUGAAGUUCUCCACCUCCAGACAACCCAACCAAGGCCUUGUCCAGACUCAGAGUAGAGGAGCCCCCAGCCUCUAUGGUCAAGCUGCUACCCUCACCCGCUAUGUCCAGGACCUGGAGCAAGGGAGCAGCUUCUCUACCCUGGCUUCCAAGGGACCAAUAGAAAUCUCUGCCCAGUCAAUUUCCACUCCUGACCGUCAAGUUCCCUCAAGUGGUUCUUCAUUUAGACCAGGUCCUCUGAGUUUUGGUUCUACUCAAGGUGGGAGUGCAGCAAAAAGCUACAAGCCUAGCUUCUCCCAAGAUGUUAUGCAAUACCAGAGCAGCUCUGCCAGUAGAAGUGUUUCAACUUCCAAUCAAUAUGCCCAAACAUCUGGCCAGAGACUAGAUGGAGCAAGUCGCGGCAUGCCCACUUCCAGCCUGGCCUCUCGCUCCAGUCUUUUUCGCCCUAGCUCUACAGCUUGUGGAAACUCUUAUGGAGCCUUCAAGCCUGGCUCUGACCCUGGUGCAACACCAAGCCAAAGCCUGUUUACCUCUAACCAGGGUGGAAGGGGUUCAACAUACAGCCAGAAUCUCCUUGCUAAACGUGCCCAAAGGAAGUAUGGCCAAAUGUCUGCUCAUUGGGGGAGCUACCAGCCCAGCUAUGCUGCCAGUAGUGGGCCAGUCUCCAGCCUCUUCAGUUCAACAUUCAUCCAGAAUGCUCCUGCCACAGCCCAGAAGACUGGGGGCAGGUUUAGAGCCACUUGACAACACUAUCAGCCCAGCUAAUGAAGUGAAGUCCAACACUAGCUCUCCCAGAAGUCCCACCCAGAUCCUCUUGUCUAGUAGCUAUGGCCCUACCCUGAGCAGGACCAGCAGUGCCAUCUCAUCCACCCCUCAACGCUUUGCCCAGACCAGCAUCCCAGAAUUGUACGGCGGAUCUCCAAUCUACUGGCUCAAAGACCCUACUCGGUAGGUGUAGUGCCUCCCCUAGCAACUCAACCCAGCUCUUCAAGUGUCGGCAAGCCACAGCCAAACCACACUAUCUGCCAAGCAGAAAGGCCCCAACACUACCUAUGUCUGAGUCCAGAGCUUUAGGGGAGUCCAGAACAUGACGAAGUGGGAUCUGUAGCCACCAGUUGAGGUGCUGUGACCUGGAAGUGUUGUCAGGACUUCUCUCCUUCAAUUGUUUUAAAUAAAAUUGACUUAAACAUUUUAGUCUUGUUUUUCUUUAGUGUUUGCAGACAAAUGUUUUGAAUGCCUUCAAAGGAAUGUCAGUGUGGUAAUCAGGUUGAUUGUUCCAGUAGAAGUUCUCUGGCAUUUGACAGGAUCACUGGAC